rnacentral:pre_miRNA from 18 species
AGCUGAAGAGAGCCGUCUAUUGACAGUUCGCUUGUUUCAUGUGCUGUCAUGGAGUCGCUCUCUUCAGAUGA